UAAAAUGAGAGUUUGAUCCUGGCUCAGGACGAACGCUGGCGGCGUGCCUAAUACAUGCAAGUCGAACGAAACUUUCUUACACCGAAUGCUUGCAUUCACCGUAAGAAGUUGAGUGGCGGACGGGUGAGUAACACGUGGGUAACCUGCCUAAAAGAAGGGGAUAACACUUGGAAACAGGUGCUAAUACCGUAUAUCUCUAAAGAUCGCAUGAUCUUUAGAUGAAAGAUGGUUCUGCUAUCGCUUUUAGAUGGACCCGCGGCGUAUUAACUAGUUGGUGGGGUAACGGCCUACCAAGGUGAUGAUACGUAGCCGAACUGAGAGGUUGAUCGGCCACAUUGGGACUGAGACACGGCCCAAACUCCUACGGGAGGCAGCAGUAGGGAAUCUUCCACAAUGGACGCAAGUCUGAUGGAGCAACGCCGCGUGAGUGAAGAAGGUCUUCGGAUCGUAAAACUCUGUUGUUAGAGAAGAACACGAGUGAGAGUAACUGUUCAUUCGAUGACGGUAUCUAACCAGCAAGUCACGGCUAACUACGUGCCAGCAGCCGCGGUAAUACGUAGGUGGCAAGCGUUGUGCGGAUUUAUUGGGCGUAAAGGGAACGCAGGCGGUCUUUUAAGUCUGAUGUGAAAGCCUUCGGCUUAACCGGAGUAGUGCAUUGGAAACUGGAAGACUUGAGUGCAGAAGAGGAGAGUGGAACUCCAUGUGUAGCGGUGAAAUGCGUAGAUAUAUGGAAGAACACCAGUGGCGAAAGCGGCUCUCUGGUCUGUAACUGACGCUGAGGUUCGAAAGCGUGGGUAGCAAACAGGAUUAGAUACCCUGGUAGUCCACGCCGUAAACGAUGAAUGCUAGGUGUUGGAGGGUUUCCGCCCUUCAGUGCCGCAGCUAACGCAAUAAGCAUUCCGCCUGGGGAGUACGACCGCAAGGUUGAAACUCAAAGGAAUUGACGGGGGCCCGCACAAGCGGUGGAGCAUGUGGUUUAAUUCGAAGCAACGCGAAGAACCUUACCAGGUCUUGACAUCCUUUGACCACCUAAGAGAUUAGGCUUUCCCUUCGGGGACAAAGUGACAGGUGGUGCAUGGCUGUCGUCAGCUCGUGUCGUGAGAUGUUGGGUUAAGUCCCGCAACGAGCGCAACCCUUGUUGUCAGUUGCCAGCAUUAAGUUGGGCACUCUGGCGAGACUGCCGGUGACAAACCGGAGGAAGGUGGGGACGACGUCAAGUCAUCAUGCCCCUUAUGACCUGGGCUACACACGUGCUACAAUGGACGGUACAACGAGUCGCGAGACCGCGAGGUUUAGCUAAUCUCUUAAAGCCGUUCUCAGUUCGGAUUGUAGGCUGCAACUCGCCUACAUGAAGUCGGAAUCGCUAGUAAUCGCGAAUCAGCAUGUCGCGGUGAAUACGUUCCCGGGCCUUGUACACACCGCCCGUCACACCAUGCGAGUUUGUAACACCCAAAGCCGGUGGGGUAACCGUAAGGAGCCAGCCGUCUAAGGUGGGACAGAUGAUUGGGGUGAAGUCGUAACAAGGUAGCCGUAGGAGAACCUGCGGCUGGAUCACCUCCUUUCUAAGGAA
rnacentral:rRNA from 2 species